GUAAAAAAAAAACCAAAAAAAACCCACCCCCUCCACCCCCCGUGGCAGUCCUAAUAUUUUCCCCUUAACAUCUAGUCACCCUAGAUGAGGUGUUUCUCAUGCAACAGCAUGUCCACUGGCGAUCACAGCUGACUUACUGGCUGGUCUCUAACCCCUGUGCUUUCUGGUUCCAAUCCUGCUCCCAUUGAAGUCAAUCGUGGGGCUCCACUGGGUGGCAAUAGGAAUCAGGUCCUCUAUCCCCCUUUCUGCAGUAUACACGCAGCUGUAUUUGGUAAGCAGGUCAUGACACACUUGUCUGGCCUCCUUCUGCUUCUUCAGCCACAGUUCCUUGCGGCAGAAGGGGUGAUGGACACUCUGCAGCCUCAUGGCUAACUUCAUUAUUCCUUUCCCAAGUAUGCAGGCCGCAGCAGCACAUCAAUCAGUAGCCAUUGUCCGAGCAUUCCGGCGUCACAUCCCAUUGCAUGCGUCAUCAUCGCUGUUUGGGGUGGGGACCGGUGUUUUGUGUUGAGUUUGUACAGCAUCUAGCACGAUGGGGUCUUGGCCCAGGACUGAAGCUCCUCGGUGUCACACAAUAUAAAUCAUAAUCCUGUCACAUGACUCUCGGUCGUAGACAUUCCAUCCCCCUUUAUUAUUAUAUGCACGUGGCUCCUGGAGUUAGAGAUAAAUGCCCCAGGGACUUCAACAGCUCAUCACCAAUUUACAUCAGCUGAGGAUCUGGGCCCAUAAAUCCUGAACCCUUGUAAGAGAGGGUUGGCUAAAAGUUGCGCACAUCCCGUUAGUCCUGUUACCCUGUCUUCUCCUCACCAACCUGGCUGCUUGUCUCCAUCACCUGUUAGAUCUUGUCUUUUAGAGUGUAAGGUCUUUGGGGAGGGACUGUCACUUCACCAAGCAUAACUGGGCUCUCCUCUGGUUGACCUGUCCCACAAUAUAAAUGUGAGCGUGGUGAGGUGGUCUUCUUCUGAGAAGCAAGAAGCCAAGGAACGAGUGGACCAUGGCAAAUUAUCUUCCAUCUCAACCCCCUAGGGAGGGGUCCCACCAGGGUAACACAGAGGUAUAGCUUGUGAUGCACUCAACUGCCUGGUCUUGCCUGGUGGGUAAAGAAAUAACUUCAUUGCUCAGCCCAUCAAUCCAGCAUGCUUCAGACCCUCACUUUGACUUUACACUGCAAGGGUGCUGGCCUAUUUGAGUUCUGGGAAGGGGUGAGCCUACAAUCUAAAAGACAAGCCACUCAGAACUGAAAGUCCACCCUCUGGCUGGCCCAGAAAGCAACUGAUUACUUGGGACAACAAACAUGAAAACAGGGAUGGUAGUGAAGAGCUCCCCCUGCUGGACACUCACCAGGUUACUAUGUCUGGGCCGAUGUAGUCUUAAACUUCCUUUGCUCUGAGUAGGCUCCAGCAUUGUCGGCUUCCUUGGUGCCACUGCCACACUUCUCGGGCUCAGGCUCUUUGUCUGGCUGAUACUCCUUCAUGGAAAUGGGACCUCAUGGCCCAGCUUCCCUGGGCCCCCAGGAUAGCAACCAGAGAGCAAGCCCACCCAGGGCCCUGGGAAUGUACUCAGGUUGCCAACCCAUGCCAUCAUAUCUGCACUACUGUUGUUACCUGUGCGGGUUAAAUUAAAGGAAAAUUCCAUUCCUUCAAACCCCAGCUCCCUGCAGAGAGGCUGGAGAAAACUGGCUUCAUCUAGACUGCAGUUACUCUUUUGUUCUGCCAGAUCUAAGGACAAAGGGAAUAUCAACUGUCUGUCUCAGAGAGGUUUUAUUGGUUGUUUUCCUCCCUAAUUAAGCAAUAACCACUGAUGCAGAGGGCAUUUCCCGGGAUUAAUGCCUAGCAGGGAGUCAUUGAUGACCUGAGGUUACAGAUCCCUGACUUGUCCCGCAAAGGCUGCAAUUUGCUCCCCACGCUAAUGGCUGUAAUUAUGACUCAUCAUAUCUAGGUGGAGUUGUUUUAAAUUCAGUAUGUCUCUCACUUCCAGGCCCUCUCUAAGUGUUGUGCUAACUACUCCUGUGCUUACCUCUGUCCUGCCAAUGCACUGCUUUCCCAGCCUGCAUUGUUUGAUCAAGGCAUUCUGAUUUAAUCCCACAGCGAAGGGGUAGUGUGAUUUUCCCAACCGGUGAGGAAAUGUUUCUGAGCCCCCGCCCCUAACAUGCCCAGAGCCCCGAUCCCCGGCUAGGCAGCUCAGGGAACCAGGGCUCUCAAAACAUUAGGGCUGACCCCAAGCCCUGUGACCCUAGAGAACCCAGGCUGCCAAGGAGCUGAAAGCUUGAGAGCCAGGGCUUCCAGCAUCUCCGCUCUCUGCCCAGACAAGGGUCCAUUAGAAACCUGCCCGGUUUCCAUCCAAAUUUCAUCUAAAUCGACACGUUGCUGUAGACCGUCUCUGCUGGGAAAUGCUGAUUCAUCAAAAAUUCCAACCGGCUCUGAUGAGAACUCAGGAGCCUUCAUAUUUCCUGGGCCUGUGUCCAAACAGCAUCCCCACCCCCCACACCUUUCUCUCUUAAAAGGAUAGCCGAUAAAGCCCUGGGAAACAUACCGCAAAGAUGAAUCCUUCCCUGACAAGGGGAUAGGGUAGGUGACCCAACACAUUCUUACCAUCGCCAGUGGGAAACAACAACGUCCAUCUCAGACACACAGCACUCACAUUUAGCGGUGGGGUGGUUAGUUCACCUUUAAAUGUUCUACUGACCUGCUGUUUCUUUAAGAGGGGGAAUCUAACAACACCCGGCGCGCUGGAUGUCCCUGCAAGCUGGCUGAGGUGG